rnacentral:rRNA from 1 species
CACGUAGGGCGCGAGCGUUGUCCGGAAUUAUUGGGCGUAAAGAGCUCGUAGGCGGCCUGUUGCGUCCGCUGUGAAAGCCCGGGGCUUAACCCCGGGUCGGCAGUGGAUACGGGCAGGCUAGAGGUAGGUAGGGGAGAAUGGAAUUCCUGGUGUAGCGGUGAAAUGCGCAGAUAUCAGGAGGAACACCGGUGGCGAAGGCGGGACUCUGGGCCGAUACUGACGCUGAGGAGCGAAAGCGUGGGGAGCAAACAGG